GAUGAACGCUGGCGGCGUGCCUAAUACAUGCAAGUCGAGCGAACGGACGAGAAGCUUGCUUCUCUGAUGUUAGCGGCGGACGGGUGAGUAACACGUGGAUAACCUACCUAUAAGACUGGGAUAACUUCGGGAAACCGGAGCUAAUACCGGAUAAUAUUUUGAACCGCAUGGUUCAAAAGUGAAAGACGGUCUUGCUGUCACUUAUAGAUGGAUCCGCGCUGCAUUAGCUAGUUGGUAAGGUAACGGCUUACCAAGGCAACGAUGCAUAGCCGACCUGAGAGGGUGAUCGGCCACACUGGAACUGAGACACGGUCCAGACUCCUACGGGGGGCAGCAGUGGGGAAUCUUCCGCAAUGGGCGGAAGCCUGACGGAGCAACGCCGCGUGAGUGAUGAAGGUCUUCGGAUCGUAAAACUCUGUUAUUAGGGAAGAACAUAUGUGUAAGUAACUGUGCACAUCUUGACGGUACCUAAUCAGAAAGCCACGGCUAACUACGUG
rnacentral:rRNA from 1 species